rnacentral:lncRNA from 1 species
GUCUCGAGGUGCAUCCAUUUUCCUACAAAUCACUCAAGGUUAUCCUUCUUUAUGACAGAGUCAUACUCCAUUGUGUAUAAAUACCAUUUUCUUUAUCCAUUCAUCUUUUGAUGGGCAUAUGGGCUGUUUCCAAGAUUCAGCUAUUAUAAAUUGUGCUGCUGUAAACAUGGGUGUACAUAUAUCAUUUUGGUGUGAUGCUUUUAUUUCUUCUGGGAAGAUACCUAAAAGGGGGGCAGUUGUGUCAAAUGGAACCUCUAGUUUUAGUUUUUUGAGGAAUCCCAUACUGAUUUCCACAGGGGUUGUACCAGUCUACACUCCCACAGCAGUAGAGAAAGGCUCCUUUUUCCCCACAUGUGGCUGUCAGUUUUGCAGUUUGAAGCAUGACAUUAGGACAACAUAAUUAUGUUUUUCUUCUUCACAAUUUCACAAAUGAAUUUGUUUUUACUGCAGAUCUUCACAGCCUCAGCCUACGUUUUUUUUUUUUCUGUUCUUAUUAAGUUGGGGACUUUUGCCUUUUGAUUUCAAGGAAGCGUUUUCUGGCUUCCCUGUGGCUCACAUGAAUUGCCGACAUCACUACACUUGCAUUAUUAAGUAAAACAAAGGUUGCUUGACUACAAUCAUUGUGCUAUCACUAGCUGAUCUGGUAACUGAGGCAACAAUUAACUGGCCAAUGGGUGGGCAACAGAUACCGCAUGGAUGCAUGGACCACAGAAAUGACGCACGUCCUAGGCAGGAUGGAGGAGAGGACAGAAAAUUUCAUCAUUCUAUUCAGAAUGUUGUGUAAUUUAAAACUUAUGGUUACUUUUUUCUGGAAUUUUCCAGUGAAUAUCUUGAGACUGUGGUUGACCACAGCCAGGCAGAAGUCACUCAUACUAUGGAAAGAUGGACCUCCCCGCUCAGGCACAUCUCUGAGUGGCUUCCGGCUUCCUGUCCCUGAGGUGAAGUGUGCUGGAGCUUCCAGGAGGAGAUCUCCCUCCUCUGAGAGGGAGGAGAGGAGGAGAAGUGCCCUGCUUUGACUGCCGCUGUGCUGAGACACAAUGCUUGGGGCUGCCGCAGCCCUUCCAGUGAUAAGCAGGGAGACGGCAGAAUCACAGAGGAGCCACCCCCGUGCCUGCUGUCGCCAAGCCCCUCGAUAUCCUGGAACCCUCUAUCCAGAUUUCUUGUCGUGCCAGGAGAAUCGCUCCAUUUGCGGAGUCUGCUGUUAGGCAAAUUUCUGUUAUUUGCAACAACAACAA